GCUGAAACAGAACCAUCUACUUUAGACCAAAUUAAAGUAUACAAUCUUAAGGCAAAAGGUAAGAAAAUACCUCGAAAGUCUCCAAACUUUCCCUACUAUUUACUACCUUCUUCAACGCAUUGAAGGCUCAUAGGACUCAAUUUUUCAUUCAAGUUUCAUUCAAUUCAAUACAAGCAAAAGGAAAGACAAAAAUGAAUAUAUAACUUGAUCAUUUAUCGAUCUUCAAUUUAGAAGUCGACUCUAAUUUCUUCUGGAGGAGGUUUGAAUCCAUGAUGAGAUCAAGAAUCAAAAACAUCGCAAAAUAGUUUGUAAAUAAUGCAUGUUUUAAACGUUCUUCUUCUGACUUCUCUAAACAUUCACAUGUACCUAUGUUUUGCAGUGAAUUGACUGACUUUUUAAAACCGAUUGUUUAAGAAAUAAACUAAUUAACAUAAAAAUAUACACAUUUUCAGUGCUAACUAUCUAAACGCUCUUGAUUAUUCAACGUGUCCAGGAUAAAGGGCCAAUAUGGGAAUCAUUAAAAUAAAAUAAAUCUCAAACUUUUCGAAUUUUUUCCCAAUAAGAAAAGAAAAUUCCUAUUCACAGUUUCACAGCGUCAUUUUAUUAACAUUUUAUUAGUACUGGCCCUUUUAUCUUUGUAUUAGACACAGUGUUUCUAAUACAAAGCGGAACAUCAAAUCCUUCUUUGAUUUUUGUAUUAAAAAAAUGAAACUUACCGAGUCUUAUAGCCCUUCGUGCGAUACCACCUUCGUGCGAGUCGUGUUUAUUGCGAAUUAUUUGACCAAACUCGGUUCCGAUAACGAAGGAAUUUCAAGAACUUUAUAUAGAAUAUAUUUCAAUCUGACCCGGUGAAAUAGCUAUCGACAAACACAAACAAACUCUGUACAGUACCGAGAGUAGAAUACAUGGGCUGCAUAGCCGUACAGGAAGGAAAAAAUGGAGAUUGAGAGCUCACAAGAGUACGAGUCGGAUCGAGCUUCACAGGAGGGACUUUUCUCCAAUGCAUGAAGCAAAAAAAACAAGCGUGGGACACACCAUCAACAUCAUUGCAGAAAGCCGCCAGAAAUCCACACAAAUGGCAACAACAACAAUUUGGCCAACAAGAAAACUUUUACAACCACCAACAACAUAUCACCAUGCAUUCUUAGAGCAUGCAACACCUGAAACCACCAGCGUCCAACUAGCCCUCAAAUGGGAGAAGCUAGACGAUAACAACCAGGACGUCAUAAUAAAACAAGAGAAUGCAUUUAUCAUCAGAACUAACAAAAGAAGACAAAACAACAAAAUCACUUCAAGUACUAUUGGGUCAGAAAAUUAUAACUGUAUUUAAACAAUACAACCAUGUAUCAAGGCAAUAGUAGUCGUCAAAUAACGCCCUCAUGCCCAGCAACGGGAGUCGACCUUGAUAUAACCGACGAGAUGUUCGCAAAACAGCUGCAGAAACUCAAUCUCCAAGUAAGGUUUUGCAAGAGGAUUAUUUCGAGGCAGACGACGCUGAUGAUUAGACUGAUCACAGGGCACCUGAUACAUACGAGAAGCUAAUGAACGAACGCUCGGUGCACUUCUUGGGCCGUGUGUUCAGAAUAAUUGAGAACAGACCACCAGCACCCGUUUCAGUACCAUGCAGCAAAUGCAAUCUGUUCGAACACAGCACUGAAGUCUGCAAACAACCGCCAAAGUGCACGUCGCCACUACCAGUCAAGUGCGCAGCCUGGAGCAUAAAAUGCCCCAAAAGACCCACCCCACAUCAAAAUUAAAUGUUUAAACAAACAGACGACCGAGAUAACAGAGACAAUAACAGCGACAAGUAGAAUACAUACACCCAUUACCAAACAUGACUACAUCAUAAACAAAUGCAAACAUCAACUAACAAACAAUACUAACAGCCGCCACGGGCGGCGCCGCAGUGCUUCUCAAACCCAUUACCAAACUAGGCAAAGCAAAUCAUCCCCACCUCAACAACCCAUUGAACGACUGCAUACAUGUUACCAUAGCCUACUUAAAUGACUUAUUUCACAUAUUUCUGACAUACAUACACCCACACUCCAUUCUAGAACAAAACAUACUGAUCAAAGUCUUCACAAAUACGCAAUUAUUGUGGGCGACUUUAACCUCAUCAAGAACAAAACAACGGACUUUAUAAAACAGCUCACCCCAUCAACUUUUCUGAUUCCCGUAAACUGGGAACGGCGAUCACAUGAGAAAGAAGGGCGUGGUUCUCUCGUGAAGCGAAUAUUGGUAUUCUUGAACGCGAUCGAGUGAUCCCAUCACCCAACGGCAGUAGAACAAGCUUCUCUUGCCAAAUCUCGCGGGAACGGAUCGUUCACCGGUUUUAUAACCACACACUACACAGAUUUUGGCGUAGGUACCCGGUUUGAAAAGUGCUGUGAUUUCGGUUCGAACUCGAAAUAAUGAAUUUCAUAAAUAAAACUUUACAGUGUUUAUAAAAUAAGGAGCAAUUUAAGAGAUUUUCUAACAGAGAGUAGAGCGAGCUUGUAUGGAAUUGUUCUCAACAAUCUUCAAGGUAAGUUUUUGUGUUUCGAAUCGUGUCUUGUAGUAGAAACUAUUUUAGUAUUACUGAAUUAACUUGUAGAUGCAGAGGAACAAGAAGAAAAUCCUCCACGGGCAAUUUUAUCAACCCAUAAACGCUAUGGAAUUAAAUAAAGUAAAGUUCGUCAAGCUUUUUAUGUUGAAUAAGCAGCUGGUGCUCCAAUUGAUAGAGAAGCUGACGCCCUAUCUUCAAGCACCAAGUAGAAGUUCUGCUAUAAGCAUCGAAACAAAAGUCCUUGUUACACUGAGAUUUUAUGCUACAGGCAGUUAGCAAGAAAUAACUGGAAGUAAUAUAUUUACUGCCAUUAGCCAGCCUAGUGUAUCUCGGUGCAUUACAGAAGUGACUGAUUCACUAAAUCAACCCAAGAUUUUCAAUGAUUGGCGAUUCAGGUAAUAACAGUUCCUAACCAUAACAGAGACCGGUGAACGCUUCUCACAUCGCUUCCUAUGCAUUCGAGAAUACGGUUUUCGAACCAUAGUAGAAAUGGGAAGGGAAUGGUCACAUUGGCGAUGGGAUCGUUCACGUUCUCUCGAGCUCCAGAAUUGGGCACCAGACGUUUUACUGCACAGAACAAGCUUAAUAACACCAUUAAUAACAUAGGCCUUACUAACGAACUUGGCUCCGACCAUCUGGCUAUAACGUUUAACAUAGACUUCUUAAAACAUACGCAACCUACCCUCAGUACACCGAAUCAAGAGAAAAAGCUAAAAUGAACUAAGACUGACAUAGACAAAGUGAAGCAACACAUACAUAACUACAUACAACCGCAAGCACAGACCACCUCAAUUGAAACCAUACAACAACUUUCACUAACGACAGGAAAAUUCACCCCUGAAAUAAAUAAUGUUUUCCACCGUCACAACCUUCCCAAAUUCAUACUGUGACUCAUAAACCAUAAGAGAGAACUUUACAGACUAUAUACUUACACCCAAAAUAACGACCUAAAAAAGACACCGAACCAACUUAACAAGAACAUUAAGUCAGAUUUGACAAUACCGACAAGUAUAUACACCAAACUAUACUUACAAACUAAUCACAGACACAGAGUACGAUGAAGCCCUAUCACACAUCAAAAACACAGCCCCGGGAAAAGACAAAAUACACAAAAAGGGAAAAACCCCUGGAAACCUUAACCCAAGAAACCCACAAACUUAUAGAAACAACAACAACAACACAAACAACAGAACAAAUUGCACUAAUACUAAUAACACGAAUCAGACCCAGAACCCACUGCACAACCCUUCCAACCAACUACUAUACGAACGCACAAACAUGACAAAAAUUUCGGAAAGACUAAUACACUUACAGACAAAAUGGACAAAAAACCCCCACAACUGGACCUUCUGAGGCAAGGGAAAUUCAGUAUAUUUCCCUUGCCUCAGAAGACAGACAAAACACUCCCGUUUUCGUUCCCCAACAGAUACUUUACUCGAACACCUACAACUGAACUAACGACUAAGACCUGUUUGUUUUGUAAGCCAAGAAUUUAUUUUAUUUUUAUCACUGAUUAGUUCAUACGAGUGUUAGGAAUAGGAAUUUAUUUUAGAAUAGCUAGGCUAAAAUGUACACACAUAUGUACUACAACACAAGGGCAGAAAGACCAAUUGGGUCGAUAGCAUUUUUCUGUACGGAAAUAAAGAUUAUUUACAUAUA